GACUAACGCUGGCGGCAUGCAUCAUACAUGCAAGUCGAACGGAGAGAAUUGGGCAACUGAUUCUCUGAGUGGCGCACGGGUGAGUAACACGUAGGUAACCUACCCAGGAGAUCGGGAUAACAGCUCGAAAGGGUUGCUAAUACUGGAUGAGCCCACGGGUCGAGAGAUCUGAGGGAAAAUGAUGGCCUCUGUUUACAUGCUAUCGUCUGGAUGGGCCUGCGGACUAUCAGCUAGUUGGUGGGGUAACGGCCUACCAAGGCGAUGACGGUUAGCCGGCUUGAGAGAGUGUACGGCCACACUGGAACUGAGACACGGUCCAGACUCC
rnacentral:rRNA from 1 species